GAUGAACGCUGGCGGCGUGCCUAAUACAUGCAAGUCGAGCGAACAGACGAGGAGCUUGCUCCUCUGACGUUAGCGGCGGACGGGUGAGUAACACGUGGAUAACCUACCUAUAAGACUGGGAUAACUUCGGGACACCGGAGCUAAUACCGGAUAAUAUAUUGAACCGCAUGGUUCAAUAGUGAAAGACGGUUUUGCUGUCACUUAUAGAUGGAUCCGCGCCGCAUUAGCUAGUUGGUAAGGUAACGGCUUACCAAGGCAACGAUGCGUAGCCGACCUGAGAGGCUGAUCGGCCACACGGGAGCUGAGACACGGUCCAGACUCCUAAGGGAGGCAGCAGUAGGGAAUCUUCCGCAAUGGGCGAAAGCUUGACGGAGCAACGCCGCGUGAGUGAUGAAGGUCUUCGGAUCGUAAAACUCUGUUAUUAGGGAAGAACAAAUGUGUAAGUAACUAUGCACGUCUUGACGGUACCUAAUCAGAAAGCCACGGCUAACUACGUG
rnacentral:rRNA from 1 species